CUUGGAUGAGAACAUGGCAU
rnacentral:miRNA from 1 species